rnacentral:rRNA from 1 species
UUCGAAGCAACGCGAAGAACCUUACCAGGCCUUGACAUGCUAGGGGACCUAGGUGAAAGCCUGGGGUGCCCGCGAGGAGCCCUAGCACAGGUGCUGCAUGGCCGUCGUCAGCUCGUGUCGUGAGAUGUUGGGUUAAGUCCCGCAACGAGCGCAACCCCUGCCCUUAGUUGCCAGCGGGUUGGGCCGGGCACUCUAAGGGGACUGCCUGCGAAAGCAGGAGGAAGGCGGGGACGACGUCUGGUCAUCAUGGCCCUUACGGCCUGGGCGACACACGUGCUACAAUGCCCACUACAGAGCGAGGCGACCCAGCGAUGGGGAGCGAAUCGCAAAAAGGUGGGCGUAGUUCGGAUUGGGGUCUGCAACCCGACCCCAUGAAGCCGGAAUCGCUAGUAAUCGCGGAUCAGCCAUGCCGCGGUGAAUACGUUCCCGGGCCUU